GAUGAACGCUAGCGGCAGGCCUAAUACAUGCAAGCCGAACGGUAAAUAUUGUAGCAAUACAAUAUGAGAGUAGCGUAAGGGUGCGUAACACGUAUGCAAUCUGCCCUGUACAGGAGAAUAGCUCGGGGGAAACCCGGAUUAAUACUCCGUAAUAUUGUUGGGAGGCAUCUCUUGACAAUUAAAGUCGCAAGACGGUAUAGGAUGAGCAUGCGUCUGAUUAGCUAGUUGGUGGUGUAACGGACCACCAAGGCGAUGAUCAGUAGGGGAACUGAGAGGUUGAUCCCCCACACUGGCACUGAGAUACGGGCCAGACUCCUACGGGAGGCAGCAGUAGGGAAUAUUGGUCAAUGGAUGCAAGUCUGAACCAGCCAUGCCGCGUGCAGGAAGAAGGCCUUCUGGGUUGUAAACUGCUUUUGCCGGGGGAUAAAAAGUCCAUGCGUGGAUAAUUGAAGGUACCCGGUGAAUAAGCCACGGCUAACUACGUGCC
rnacentral:rRNA from 1 species